UUGCCAGACUCCUACGGGAGGCAGCAGUGAGGAAUAUUGGUCAAUGGGCGGAAGCCUGAACCAGCCAAGUCGCGUGAGGGAAUAAGGCCCUACGGGUCGUAAACCUCUUUUGCCGGGGAGCAAGGGCGGGGACGUGUCCCGGCCCGGAGAGUACCCGGAGAAAAAGCAUCGGCUAACUCCGUGCCAGCAGCCGCGGUAAUACGGAGGAUGCGAGCGUUAUCCGGAUUUAUUGGGUUUAAAGGGUGCGUAGGCGGGCUUUUAAGUCAGCGGUAAAAAUGCGGUGCUCAACGCCGUACAGCCGUUGAAACUGGCAGUCUUGAGUGGGCGAGAAGUAUGCGGAAUGCGUGGUGUAGCGGUGAAAUGCAUAGAUAUCACGCAGAACUCCGAUUGCGAAGGCAGCAUACCGGCGCCCGACUGACGCUGAGGCACGAAAGCGUGGGUAUCGAACAGGAUUAGAUACCCUGGUAA
rnacentral:rRNA from 1 species